AUGAAGCUUCCAAGUCAGGAAGUGUGCCGGGGAAAAAAUAAUUUUGUGAAAAAUACUAAGUAUUCUUUCGAUUUACAAAGACCAUCGGACAGUGAACAGGUGUCAUUAAAAAAUGCCAGAGGUGAAGGAAGAAGCAAUGGAGACUCAGUGACUCAGACAAAAGGCCAAGUGACCCUCUCAGAAGGGGAUUCCCUUACUGUGAAAUGCUCUUUUGAAACUACAUGGGAUCCCACUCUUUUCUGGUAUGUUCAGUAUCCUGGAGAAGGUCCACAGCUCCUCCUAAAAGCCGUGAAGGCCAAUGAGAAGAAAAACAACAAAGGAUUUGAAGCCACAUACAGCAAACAACCAAAUACCUUCCACUUGGAGAAAGCCUCAGUCGAGGAGUCAGAUUCGGCAAUGUACUACUGUGUGAUGAGUGACACAGUGACAGAAACUGCAGGGGGAGCUGAGCACAAACUCUGA